rnacentral:rRNA from 9 species
AAAUUGAAGAGUUUGAUCAUGGCUCAGAUUGAACGCUGGCGGCAGGCCUAACACAUGCAAGUCGAACGGUAACAGGAAGCAGCUUGCUGCUUUGCUGACGAGUGGCGGACGGGUGAGUAAUGUCUGGGAAACUGCCUGAUGGAGGGGGAUAACUACUGGAAACGGUGGCUAAUAC